rfam:Tupaia chinensis contig178232, whole genome shotgun sequence.
UAGGGGGGAUGGGGCUCGGAGCCCCUCCCCGAGCCUACAGUAACUCUAAAAGUGGAGGGGAA